GAAUAAGAAGCGAAUUAUUGCAUUCAGUUUCGACCUGUUCAUUUGGUAUUAUUUUACCCUUAUUCU
rnacentral:tRNA from 1 species